rnacentral:rRNA from 1 species
UACGAAGGGUGCAAGCGUUAAUCGGAAUUACUGGGCGUAAAGGGUGCGUAGGCGGUUCGUUAAGUCUGUUGUGAAAGCCCCGGGCUCAACCUGGGAAUGGCAAUGGAUACUGGCAGGCUAGAGUGUGUCAGAGGAUGGUGGAAUUCCCGGUGUAGCGGUGAAAUGCGUAGAGAUCGGGAGGAACAUCAGUGGCGAAGGCGGCCAUCUGGGACAACACUGACGCUGAAGCACGAAAGCGUGGGGAGCAAACAGG